UUGCUUCUCUUGAGAGCGGCGGACGGGUGAGUAAAGCCUAGGAAUCUGCCUGGUAGUGGGGGAUAACGUUCGGAAACGGACGCUAAUACCGCAUACGUCCUACGGGAGAAAGCAGGGGACCUUCGGGCCUUGAGCUAUCAGAUGAGCCUAGGUCGGAUUAGCUAGUUGGUGAGGUAAUGGCUCACCAAGGCGACGAUCCGUAACUGGUCUGAGAGGAUGAUCAGUCACACUGGAACUGAGACACGGUCCAGACUCCUACGGGAGGCAGCAGUGGGGAAUAUUGGACAAUGGGCGAAAGCCUGAUCCAGCCAUGCCGCGUGUGUGAAGAAGGUCUUCGGAUUGUAAAGCACUUUAAGUUGGGAGGAAGGGCAUUAACCUAAUACGUUAGUGUUUUGACGUUACCGACAGAAUAAGCACCGGCUAACUCUGUGCCAGCAGCCGCGGUAAUACAGAGGGUGCAAGCGUUAAUCGGAAUUACUGGGCGUAAAGCGCGCGUAGGUGGUUUGUUAAGUUGGAUGUGAAAUCCCCGGGCUCAACCUGGGAACUGCAUUCAAAACUGACUGACUAGAGUAUGGUAGAGGGUGGUGGAAUUUCCUGUGUAGCGGUGAAAUGCGUAGAUAUAGGAAGGAACACCAGUGGCGAAGGCGACCACCUGGACUAAUACUGACACUGAGGUGCGAAAGCGUG
rnacentral:rRNA from 1 species